GACGAACGCUGGCGGCGUGCUUAACACAUGCAAGUCGAACGGAAAGGCCCUGCUUUUGUGGGGUUCUCGAGUGGCGAACGGGUGAGUAACACGUGAGUAACCUGCCCUUGACUGUGGGAUAACUUCAGGAAACUGGGGCUAAUACCGGAUAGGAGCUCCUGCUGCAUGGUGGGGGUUGGAAAGUGUCGGCGGUUGGGGAUGGACUCGCGGCUUAUCAGCUUGUUGGUGGGGUAGUGGCUUACCAAGGCUUUGACGGGUAGCCGGCCUGAGAGGGUGACCGGCCACAUUGGGACUGAGAUACGGCCCAGACUCCUACGGGAGGCAGCAGUGGGGAGUAUUGCACAAUGGGCGGACGCCUGAUGCAGAAACGCCGCGUGCGGGAUGACGGCCUUCGGGUUGUAAACCGCUUUCGCCUGUGACGAAGCGUGAGUGACGGUAAUGGGUAAAGAAGCACCGGCUAACUACGUG
rnacentral:rRNA from 1 species